rnacentral:lncRNA from 1 species
GUUUGAGGACAGCAUGACAUGGUGGUUGAGCUUGGCCACUGGGUCCAUACAUCUCAGAGUGAUGACAGCAAGCUGGUGGAAUAGGAGACUCCAGUCCUCAUACUUCCAUAGAAACAUCAAUUUUGACAACCAUCCAUGGACAAGAAGAGUACCUCAAGUAGGAAACCAGGAGUCCAGUGAAGCAAUUAUAGAACUCUGUUUAAGCCAAAAAAAAAAAAAAAAAGAAAGAAAGAAAGAAAAGAAAAAACAACUAAGACUAGAUGCGUUGAUGAAGCUGCCUGCAGCCAAGCCCCCUGCCACAUGAAGAAGCCCAUCUGUGGUAGGAGAGAGUGAUGCCAACACACAGAGAAAAGAAACGAGAGAGAAAGCAGAGAGAGAGAGACAGAGAGAGCGAGCAUUCUGAAGGCCAGCUCCCCUUCCCCUGUGCUUCCCAGGUCCUGUGCUUGCCAAUAAACUGCCCUUUUUCUUCA